GAGCUUGCGAAGGAUGAGUUGCAGCAGCCAGGGUAGUCGGUGCUGGGAUGUUACUGCCUUACUGGAUACAUGUCCCUGGUGAACCGAUGCUAACAAGAAGAAGGCAAUGCAGAAAGGCCAUCAGCGUACCUUGACCAUUCUCUCAAGAGUUAAGAAUUCUUCUGUGCAAGGACGGCUUAGCUGAUCAAGGUAAUGCUGCUAUGUGGUUCUGACCUACUCGAGUCAUUCAGCAAGCCAGGGGUUUGGAUUCCAGAUCAGAUACAAAACUUGAACACUUUUUGGUACCGAAAGGGGAUGGGAGCAACAAGUCUGAAUCAAAGAAGUCAAAGGAAGAAGUCGAACCUGAAGAAGUCCUCGGAAGAAUCACAGCUGCGUGUGCCCGGCUGGUUCAGGGGACACGACAGGCGCUGGCGCCCAUGCCCUGGCGGGCGUGUGCGCGGCGGCGUGGGUGCCAGUGCAGGGCGGGCGCGGCGGUGUGGGUGCCGGGGCAGGCUCUCUCCUGGGCACUGGCGAUCUUGCAGGACGGAUGCCACGCUGCGAGCGGCAACAAUCGACGAUGGCAAUCGUGCACGGAGGUGACGGGACGGUGCAGUGCGGCGUGGUCGCCGUGCAGGUAGGAGACGCUAUUGGUGGGCGGCGUAUGUGCCAUGCGGCGAGGUCAAGGUCAAGGGCGUGAAGUUCCCUUAGCUUGCGAUCUAAUUUUCCGUGAUUGUAGGGCACGUUGGGCUGGUUGUUAGUUUGCGAUCUGAUUUCCGUGAUUGUAGGGACGCGCGGGGUUGGUUGUUCGACUACUACUCUUCUGGUGAAGUACGGUCAGUCAUUGGUAAAUGCUAAGUGCACACCGUAGAGGUAUUGGAUUAAUGAUGGCUGUUAGAUUGAGAUUUGUUGGCCUAAUCGUGUGGUGCUGAUUGGCUCGUGCGUUAUUGUGGGACUAAUUGCGGGGUGCGCGUAAGAAAGUUCUUAUUUGAUUGUUUAAUAAUAUAGUAGAGAUUUUCUACGAUGAUGAAGAACCGGCACACAGAUCAGUCAUUUUUGUUUUAUCUUUGCAUUGUACUAUUCAUUGGGUAGUGCAUCUCAAAAACAAAAUUUUGAAUAGUGAUGAGUACUACUAGGAGGACGUACUCAAUUCGUUUAUGCAUUAAUUCGUGUAUUUUUUUGAGAGAACAUUAAUAAUCGUGUAAAAAAAAAACUACUCCCUCAUUUUCUACCCCAAUCACAUCCU